GGGUCAGUAGGUUGGUCGUGCCACCGGUACGUACUGGUCUCACUGAUUCCUCCUUCCUGAAGAACCGUAAUGCCAUUAAUUUGGUGUUGCGGGGAAACAGGACUGUUACUUUGAAAAAAUUAGAGUGUUUAAAGCAAGCUAACGCUUGAAUACAUUAGCAUGGAAUAAUGAAAUAGGACGAUCGAUCCUAUUUUGUUGGUUUCUAGGAUUGACGU
rnacentral:rRNA from 1 species